rnacentral:rRNA from 1 species
UACGUAGGGUGCGAGCGUUAAUCGGAAUUACUGGGCGUAAAGCGUGCGCAGGCGGUUUUGUAAGACAGAUGUGAAAUCCCCGGGCUCAACCUGGGAACUGCGUUUGUGACUGCAUCGCUGGAGUGCGGCAGAGGGGGAUGGAAUUCCGCGUGUAGCAGUGAAAUGCGUAGAUAUGCGGAGGAACACCGAUGGCGAAGGCAAUCCCCUGGGCCUGCACUGACGCUCAUGCACGAAAGCGUGGGGAGCAAACAGG